GGCAGCAGCUAAGAAUAUUCCGCAAUGGGGGAAACCCUGACGGAGCGACGCCGCGUGGAUGAUGAAGGCCGGAAGGUUGUAAAAUCCUUUUGAAACCGAGGAAUAAGUCAUACAGGUAAUGGUAUGAUGGUGACUGUAAGUUUUGAAUAAGCACCGGCUAAUUACGUGCCAGCAGCCGCGGUAACACGUAAGGUGCGAGCGUUGUUCGGAAUCAUUGGGCGUAAAGGGCAUGUAGGCGGAAGUGCAAGUCUGGUGUGAAAUUCCGGAGCUUAACUCCGGAGCUGCGCCGGAAACUGUAUAACUAGAAUCACUGAGGGGGAACCGGAAUUCCAGGUGUAGGGGUGAAAUCUGUAGAUAUCUGGAAGAACACCAAUAGCGAAGGCAGGUUUCCAGCAGAUGAUUGACGCUGAGGUGCGAAGGUGCGGGGAGCAAACAGGAUUAGAUACCCGGGUAGUCCGCACAGUAAACUAUGUACACUGGGUGUCCGGCCAUGAGGCUGGGUGCCGAAGCAAACGCGAUAAGUGUACCGCCUGGGGAGUAUGCCCGCAAGGGUGAAACUCAAAGGAAUUGACGG
rnacentral:rRNA from 1 species